rnacentral:rRNA from 1 species
AGAUAAAAAGCCAGUUCAUGCUUUUAUAGUAUGAAAAUUGGUGAUUUAUAAUAACUUAGCAAAUCGCAAAGUGAAAACAGGCGAUAAAUCAUUCAAGUUUCUGACCUAUCAGCUUUCGACGGUAUGGUAUUGGCUUACCGUGGCAGUGACGGUUAACGGGGGAUUAGGGUUCGAUUCCGGAGAGGGAGCCUGAGAAACGGCUACCACAUCUAAGGAAGGCAGCAGGCGCGCAAAUUACCCAAUUCUAACAGUUUGAGAGAGGUAGUAACAAGAAAUAACAAUACAAGGCAGUUAAAAUGCUUUGUAAUUGGAAUGAUAGAAAUUUAAACCCUUUUUAAAGUAUCAAUUGGAGGGCAAGUCUGGUGCCAGCAGCCGCGGUAAUUCCAGCUCCAAUAGCGUAUAUUAAAAUUGUUGCAGUUAAAAAGCUCGUAGUUGAAGUUCUGCUGAAAGUAACCGGUCUGCUUUUAAUAAAAGUGGUAUCUUGGUAUGUAUUUAGCAAUGAUGUCCUUUGAAGUGUUUUUUACUUUAUUGUAAUAAAGCAUAUUCAGGACUUUUACUUUGAGAAAAUUAGAGUGUUUCUAGCAGGCUAACGCUUUGAAUACUGCAGCAUGGAAAUAAUAAA